rnacentral:rRNA from 1 species
CCUACGGGAGGCAGCAGUGAGGAAUAUUGGUCAAUGGACGAGAGUCUGAACCAGCCACGUCGCGUGAAGGAUGACUGCUCUAUGGGUUGUAAACUUCUUUUAUAAAGGAAUAAAACGAGGUACGUGUGCCUUUUUGCAUGUCCUUUAUGAAUAAGGAUCGGCUAACUCCGUGCCAGCAGCCGCGGUAAUACGGAGGAUCCGAGCGUUAUCCGGAUUUAUUGGGUUUAAAGGGAGCGUAGAUGGGUUGUUAAGUCAGUUGUGAAAGUUUGCGGCUUAACCGUAAAAUUGCUAUUGAUACUGGCAGUCUUGAGUACAGUUGAGGUAGGCGGAAUUCGUGGUGUAGCGGUGAAAUGCUUAGAUAUCACGAAGAACCCCGAUCGCGAAGGCAGCUUACUAAACUGUGACUGACAUUGAUGCUCGAAAGUGUGGGUAGCAAACAGGAUUAGAUACCCGUGUAGUC